GUGCUUGCUUAGGGAAUAUAUAGACUAAAAUUGGAGUUAUACAUUGAAGUUUAGUAUGAUCCAUGUGUAAGCAUGACAUACAGAUUCAUGAUCAUUUCACAUUUUUC